AGAAAGCCCAAGAGUAAGCUAUGUGAGGUUGAUGGCGAUGCUUUAAAAGCGAUCGACUUACAAAGGUGUCUGAAAAUAGGCUCAACAUUAAAUCGAGAGUCGUGUGACUUUUAUCAUGGUUUUGGACUGAUGAUGAGAUGAUUAUCAAUUUGAUAUCGUUAUAGAACAAUGAAACGCAAUGCAUGGUUUACAUGGAAGAAG
rnacentral:lncRNA from 1 species